rnacentral:rRNA from 1 species
AAUGAACGCUGGCGGCAUGGAUUAGGCAUGCAAGUCGAACGAUGAAGCCUAGCUUGCUAGGUGAAUUAGUGGCGAAAGGGUGAGUAACGCGUGAGCAACCUGCCCUCAAGAUUGGGACAACACCUGGAAACGGGUGCUAAUACCGAAUGUGCUUAUAAUGGUGAUGCUAUAAUAAGUAAAAAUUUAUUGCUUGAGGAUGGGCUCGCGUUCCAUUAGCUAGUUGGUAAGGUAACGGCUUACCAAGGCAACGAUGGAUAGCUGGUCUGAGAGGAUGACCAGCCACACUGGGACUGAGAUACUGCCCAG